GUGAACUACAUCCAACAUCCUGAUGUGGAGCACCUGUUUCGGCUUGACUAUGAUCUGUUUUAUCAACAGCUGUUUGGGACAUGGUAGUUGAUCCUGUACUGUAUUCAGAGCUAUCAGGAGACUCAUCAUACAAAUCAGGAUGGUCGACUUCCUUCAUUGCUACUCUUCAAGUCGUCUAACAGAUCCUUAAAAUCUUCAAGUUGAAAAUCAAAAUCACUGAGUUUAUAUCUGAGGAUGUCACUUUCUUUGCUUUGGUUCAGGAAAUCUUGGAGGACCUGCGUAUAGAUAUAGUAUUUCAUGAAUAUUGGAAGAGUUGCAGACUUAGAAGUGUAAGAACUAAGAGAGCUACCCCAAACUUUCUUGGGCAUGAUAUGCAUUGUGUGGAGGAAUGCAAGCGAUCCAAAAAGUUGACACGACAACAUUACACCAGAGUUAUUAGAUUCUCUUUCAUAAUGGGCCCAUAUUAAUGGAGGAGCUGAAUUUGCUUGGCUAAGAUUCAGUAAAAAAGCUCUAAUUUGUGAGUGAGCCAUGUGAAGUUUAUUAUUCAUAUUACUGGCUUAUUAGAUUGUUACUUACAUCCAGCUAUGACUGUUAGACAUGUGGUUUACUCCUAAAAGCUCUAAUGUUUGAGUUC